AGGAACCACAGAAGAGAGCUUAAGACACAUGGGCAAUCUUGAGUCCGCCGACUAGCCCAAGGGAAGCUGCCCAGCUUUUCAAGGACCCAGGAUUUCUCCUCCAGAAGCCCUGCAGAGACUUCUCUUCUAGCCCUUCCCCACUGGGACUUGAUGUGGGAGCUGUGGGUUUGAGGAAAGUUGGCUAAAAUGACUGAGCUGGAUUCCAAGCUGACCAGAUUCCAUGUCUUUCACCCUUUUCCCAGCUUUGCUAGUGGAGAGGCUGAGAACAUCAACUUCAGAACUCAGAGAAGCAAACUGAUGGAGGGUGCAAAUGCCUAAGAAGGAAGAAGAGCAUGAGCGACUGCAGCCAGUCUACCGCAGGUUAAGUCCACUUACCUCUCCAAGCCAAUCUGGUCAGCAGCCCCAGCCAAGUGUCCCCGUGGGCAGGAGAGCCAGCCAUUAGAACUGAGCUGCUCAUUAACAAACCAGCAGUAGCUGCCUGCUGCCCUGCAUUCCUUUUGUCCUCUCCAGGGACCCCAACACAGCCUUUGUUUCAGAGGGAAGGCAAGCAGGUGGCCUGUCACCAGGCAGUUAUGGAUGAGGUUCUCUACCAACAAAACCAGGGGGCAGGGGCUGGCUGUGAUUACUUCUUUGAAUUUCAAAGUGAGAAACUGCUAUACAAAGAAACUACUGUGCUAGCCCCUCUGAGCCCUAAUGCUGACCAAAGCCAAAAGGUUUCAUCAAGUCCCCACUGUGUGCAGAGCAGUGAGGUUGGUGUGCUCUGAAAGAUUUGAACUGAAAAUGAAAACCAAAUACAAGCCUGUGAUCACAGCCCUGCUGUGAAGAAGCUCAUGACCACAUUAAGAGGAUAAGCUUUAGCCCCUUGGAAGAAAAUCUGGCUUGGAAUCCCAGUUCUGCCUCUAGCUGGGUAUCUUGGGGGCAAGAAAUCAACAAACCCUCAACAAGGCCCCCUCCACACUAGCAUUCUAAGGUCCUAAUCACUCCUAUUUUAUUAAUAGCACCCCCAUCAGUUCAGCUCUCUUAGCUCCUUUGUAGCAGUUCUUGUCAGGUAGGGAAAGCAGGGAUUACAGUUCCCAGUUAGCAGAUGAGACUCAGAGGAAUCAUAGAAGUUGAAUGAUUCUUCUAAAUUUGCCAAGCAAGAAUGCCUAAGCUGCACUACACAUUGCACCCCACCCCUUAAGACAGUCUCACAGCUGUCCCCAGCUCUUCAUAUAAGUUCAUUGGUCCUAGAAUGUAGCUUAUAACAGAUUUUGGUGACUUCUGUUCUGUCACCUUGACAUUUUCCCCACCUCAACUCUGUUCCUUUCGAAAUGUUGCUUUUGGAGAAAGCUAGGUUGCAACAGAGCUUACAGACAAAAUGUGGUUUCUCUCCCUGGCUACACACCCUUCCCACCUGUCUCUGGAGAGACUUCUUUUCUCUUCUGCACUUUACUACUUGUGGCUUCAGAGGGCCUUGGGCUGUCUUCCAUUGAGCACUCUGUUGACUGUGCAUUCUGGCUCUUUGUGCUUCUGAAGCCCACAGAGGGUGGAGAAACCUCCUGGGCUUUGGCCCUCUGCCUCCCUUGGCCACCACCCCUUCCCUGAAGAGAUGAAUUAUACUUGAAAGAGGCUCCCAAGCCCUGGCUACUGCUUUGAGAGAGCUAAAACAUGGCCUCAAGCUAUUUCUAAGGCUUUGUUACUCAAAUACAAGAGAUGUUUGCUCAACUGCAA